CGGGACGGGUGAGUAACGCGUGGAUAACCUGCCUCACACAGGGGAUAACAGUUAGAAAUGACUGCUAAUACCGCAUAAGCGCACGGUACCGCAUGGUACAGUGUGAAAAACUCCGGUGGUGUGAGAUGGAUCCGCGUCUGAUUAGGUAGUUGGUGAGGUAACGGCCCACCAAGCCGACGAUCAGUAGCCGACCUGAGAGGGUGACCGGCCACAUUGGGACUGAGACACGGCCCAA
rnacentral:rRNA from 1 species